GCCUCUUUCCAGCAAGAAAGGAAGAGAAAACCUAACUAUAUUUCCAACUUAUAACAGUGUAUUUUCCACGUUUUCAUUGUAUCAUGGUCAUGUGUAGCCCUUUGCUGAUAGACAGGGAACAUGGAUGGAGCUGGAGCAUGGAUAAUAACUGAGGAAAGGAAAACCAAAGACCACAUGUUCUCACUUGCAAGUGGGAGCUAAAUGAUAAGAACGUACGAACACAAAGAAAGAAACAACAGACACUGGGGUCUACUUGAGGGUGGAGGGUGGGAGGAGGGAGAGGA
rnacentral:lncRNA from 10 species